CAUAAGAGAAGGCAGGGAGGAGACGGGGUGGGAGGACAAGAAAGAGAUACAUUACAAAUUAUUCUUGAUUUUUUUUUUUCAGUUCUUCCUCAAAAAUUAACACUGGAAGUAACACACAAUUCCACCUGAAGAGGAAUUGCUAAACAGAGUAAUCUAGUCUCAAACCCACAAUAGCAAACACAGAUGACAAAGGUGAUACAGCAUGGCUCCUUGAAGAUGCAGCCUUUACAGCAUGUACCGAAGAACUGUUUUCCAGCUUUCCACAAAAGGAGACCGGAUGGGGAAAGACUGGCACCUUCUGGACCAGAAUCCAAUGUGAAAUGAAUAGCAGAGCCCUCUGG